GCUUGAGUGGCCGAGUGGAUAAGGUGACUGACUGAGAUCAAAAGGUCACCGGUUCAAUCCCCAGCUCCACUG